GGUGCGUGCAGGCGGGAGAAGCUGGGGGCGCUCGUCGGUUGGGGAGAUGGCGACCACCUGAGCUUCUCCGAUUGACCUAGACAGGGCCACGACAGCAUAAGCAAGGGGUGGGGGCGAGCAACCCUCUGAAGCCACGCAUGUCUACAGAAGAAGAAUUUUGAGAAUGAGAUUGAUAAAGAUGAACAAGGAAGUAACGGUCAAGGAAGAAGAGUUAGAU